AGUUCCACCGCCUCCAUCGCCGGUUGUGUUCGCAAGAGGCGACCUCAGUUUCCCAGGUGGCGCUGCGGCAGCCAGUCCAAAGUCGGACUUUCAAAACCAACCCGAAGUUUUGAACCCGGCGGCGGCAGUUGUCACUGGCACAGGUUUGGCGUGGUGGCGCCAGUGUACUACUUCUGGGGAGGUCUCAACCAGGUUCUGGCACCUUCAAUCCCCACCUGAUAUCUGCGUAUCAUCACGGUAUCCCGCUUUUCCCCCAGUUCCCCAAGAGCGUCCUUCCUUUCCCUAGUCACAGGAUCGCAGUUUUGGUCUGAUAGUGCAUCCACCUACCCCAGUGUUGCAUCCCCACUUCCCUCUUUCCAUCUAACGUGGUGGCCUUUCCUGGGGAUACCUUGGGUAUCCCCCGCUAGGAGAGCAAGCACAAGACACCAGGGAGCCAGACCCCUGCCGCUCCCCUGCCACAGGAUAUGAAUACGAGCCUCAGCUGGUUUGAGCAGCUGGAUGUGCUUCUCAACGCUACUGAUGGAAAUGUGGUCCGGAAUAAGCAGUGGCUGUAUCCUCUUGGGGUCUCCACAGAGCUCAUUGGCCUGUGCAUCUGUUUCUUCUGUAGCAGUGGCUGUAUCUUCUUGGGGUCUCCACCGCAGAAUAGCACUGCUGUCACUCCUGCAGUGCUGUGGGAGGAGUCAGAGAUUAUGCAGAAGGAAUUGAAGUUGCUGCAGUACCAGUUGAGCCAGCACCAGGAGCUGCUGCUGAAACAGCUGGCUGAGGGACGACAGGCUCAGGUUGGCAGUUGGAAGGAUCUCCAUUCAUGUUGUCCAAUCUAAGCUGCCUCUGCCCACUACCUUCACCAUGUCUGUUUCUUCAUCCAGCUCUUAAUUCAGUCUUCUGGACAGUAACAGUAGCUGGGAACUUUUAUGGAAGCCAGAUCCCCAGAGGAGCACCCUUUCUAACCUGGAGCCCAGCAUCUUUCAGCUCCAUGCCCAGAGUCUUAAGCAAGAGGACCUAUUCCUUUGGGGCCCCAAAAUGCUCCUGAAUGACCUGUAAGGACUCGUUAAGAAUAGUAGGAUGAAGGCUUCUUUGCCCACCCUCCCCUCCAAGGCCCUGUUUCUGGGCUGCCCGCCCCUACCUUCUUGAAGUAGCUAUUAUCUGUCUUAUCUACUGAGGCUUUUCACUGCCUGCCCAUCCUUGCCCCCCAUCUCAGCUCACUGCAACCUCCGCCUCCCAGGUUCAAGCAAUUGUCCUGCCUCAGCCUCCCAAGUAGCUGGGAUUACAGGUGUGCGCUAAUUUUUGUAUUUUUAGUAGAGAUGGGGUUUCACCAUGUUGGCCAGUCUGGUCUUGAACUUCUGACCUCAAGUGAUCUGCCCGCCUCGCCCUCCCAAAGUGCUGGGAUUACAGUUGUGAGCCACCAUGCCCAGCCUAUAGCUGUACCUUCUGAGUGCAAGCUCAGUUGAACUUGGAAAGUAAUGGGAGUUCCCAUUCUGGUGAGUAGAAUGAGGUAGGACACUGCUCUAGGGCAGUAGUGCUGGGGGAUGCAAAGGAGGAUGAGAUAUUCUGGUGGGACUUGGAUCUGGACAGUAGGAGGCUACCUUUCCUCAUCUCCAGCUUCUGCCUUUUUUUUUUUUUUUUUUGAGGCAAGGUCUUACUCAGUUGCCCAGGCUGGAGUGCAGUGGCAUGAUCUUGGCUCACUGCAGCCUCCGCUUCCUGUACUAAAGCAAUCCUCCCACCUUAGCCCCCCAAGUAAUAAUAUAUGGGACUACAGGCACACGCUAUCAUGCCUGGCUAAUUUUUAAAUAUUUUUUGUAGAGACAGGUUUUCACCAUGUUGCCCAGGCUGGUCUCGAACUCCUGGGCUCAACUGAUCCACCAACUUUGGCCUCCCAAAGUGUUCAGAUUACAGGUGUGAGCUGCUACCAUGCCUAGCCCCAGCUUCUACUGCUUGAGGCUCUCUUUGGCAUCUCCACACAUCAUCCUUAGCAGCCCAGACUGCAUUUCUGUAGCAGCCUCUUCCCUGGUCUCUUCUUUCAGUCUCUCUGCCUCUAAUCCAGUGGCUUUAAGAAUUUUUUGGCUGUGACUUCCAGUAAGAAAUACAAUUUACAUUGUGACCUAGUAAAUAUGUGUGUAGAUUUAUUAACUGAAAUAAAAAUGUUAUGAUUUAAUUUUUAUCCUUAGUGGGAGUGAUACACUGAUAUUUUCUAUUAUAUUUCAUUAAAAAAUGCCUUGUGACUAA